rnacentral:rRNA from 1 species
AGAGUUUGAUCAUGGCUCAGGACGAACGCUGGCGGCGCGCCUAACACAUGCAAGUCGAGCGAGAACCGGGACUUCGGUCCCGGGGACAGCGGCGAACGGGUGCGUAACACGUGAGCAACCUGCCCCGAAGACCGGGACAACCCGAGGAAACUCGGACUAAUACCGGAUGCCCUCACCGGAUCGCAUGGUCUGGUGAGGAAAUGGAUUCCGCUUCGGGAUGGGCUCGCGGUCUAUCAGCUUGUUGGUGGGGUAACGGCCUACCAAGGCGACGACGGAUAGCUGGUCUGAGAGGACGAUCAGCCACACUGGGACUGAGACACGGCCCAGACUCCUACGGGAGGCAGCAGUGGGGAAUCUUGCGCAAUGGGGGAAACCCUGACGCAGCGACGCCGCGUGCGGGAUGAAGGCCUUCGGGUUGUAAACCGCUUUCAGCAGGGACGAAAUUGACGGUACCUGCAGAAGAAGGCCCGGCCAACUACGUGCCAGCAGCCGCGGUA